UACGUAGGGCGCAAGCGUUGUCCGGAAUUAUUGGGCGUAAAGAGCUCGUAGGCGGUUUGUCGCGUCUGCUGUGAAAACUCGAGGCUCAACCUCGGGCUUGCAGUGGGUACGGGCAGACUAGAGUGCGGUAGGGGUGACUGGAAUUCCUGGUGUAGCGGUGGAAUGCGCAGAUAUCAGGAGGAACACCCGAUGGCGAAGGCAGGUCACUGGGGCCGC
rnacentral:rRNA from 1 species